CGUCCAUCGAAUAAACAAUGCCGAGGCUGAAGGAAACUCACCACAGCUCCUGGCUCCAGAGCUCCAAGCUUGCUGGCCUAAAAGAGACAACUAAAAGAGAAGACACAUUGUUAGCCUGGAAAGGGACGUCUUGCUGCAAUAUGAUGGUAAUUGAUGAUUCUGGACGACCAAACUGAUAUCAAGAAGUCAACACCAAGCGACUUGCCCUGGCUGGAGAACAGAGGAGCUGAUGUGACUGGGGAGAAGUCAGUCACCACACUUGGGCCAACCAGGAAAAUGGGGAAGUGGAGAGUCUUGGGUGUGCCUGUCUGA
rnacentral:lncRNA from 1 species